rnacentral:rRNA from 1 species
GAUGAACGCUGGCGGCGUGCUUAACACAUGCAAGUCGAACGAAGUGGCGAACGGGUGAGUAACUCGUUAUCAACCUGCCCUUCAGAGGGGUACACCAGUUGGAAACGACUGCUAAUACGGCAUACUGACGGCCGGGAUUGCGUCUGAUUAGCUAGUUGGAGGGGUAACGGCCGACAAAGGCGAGGAUCAGUAGGCGGUCUGAGGGGAUGAACGGCCAAGGUGGGACUGAGACACGUCCCAGAAUCCUUCGGGAGGCAGCAGUGGGGAAUCUUCCGCAAUGGACGAAAGUCUGACGGAGCAACGCCGCGUGAGUGAUGACGGCCUUCGGGUUUUAAAACUCUGUUUAUCGGGACGCGGUACCGGAAUAGAAAGCCACGGCUAACUACGUGCCAGCAGCCGCGGUAAUUC